GGGAACGUUCGCUGUCGUGGAGAAAGACCCGACGAGAAAUUGGUCUUCGCGGAAAUCCUUUUUUCCUCCUUCGUGCUGUUAGGAUAGGACUGGGGAGAAUUUGAGGAGAUGAUAUCAUCCGCGCAUAUUUAUCCGUAACACAUAGAAUCGAGCACCCAUUUAUUUCUCACAGUGGUUGGGAGGGAGGCGUCAUGAGAAUCGUCAUCACCGUGGACCAUUUGGCGUGAUUUUCUGCGAUUCUCAUGCCGAGUGAUCAACAAUUCGAUUAAAAAAGGAACCCAACAAGCCCAAAUUGUCUAUGAUUGGACGUACAUUAAAUUUAGAGUGAACCACUAAAAAAAUAUGGAUUUAGAUGAGAAUACGGAAAAAAUUGCAUUUCACUCUUUUUUUUAAUUUAUCCAACAUAGACGCCUAUAACGUGCACGCACACUUCUCAUACAAUACACAUACAUACAAUCUACUUCUAUGAACACCUCCAAAAGACUCAGCCGGUAGAUCUUAAAAUUUACGAAAUCACCAUAUGAGCAAAUUCACGAAGUUACCACAUAAGACUCGCUUAGGGCCGGCUCUAGGGGAGGGACCGGCAAUGGGAUUGUCGUGGGCCCAUAAAACAAAGGGGCCAAUCAAUAUUAUGUAAUUAGUAGAUAUAUUAUGUACAAGUUUUUAAAAAAGAUGUAUUAUGCAUAUUUGUUUAGGCCUAAAAAUUAGCUCAAUAUGUUGCCAGCUGUUCCUAUUCUCGAACGUGCUACGUUAGCAAGCAGCUAUGUUUUAUCUCUUAGGCUGCGACAUCUGAUUGCCCGAGCGGCCGAGCCCGAGGAGCCGGGCAACGACGCUCUACCCCGACGCAACUCCUCUUGCUUUCUCGCCUUCUCAGUUCUUGCCUCUGUCGACUGAUGGGACUGCGAGAAAUCGACUCGGCCUAUUGGCUCCAUGUAGCAUGAAGGAUAUUUUGAACAAUACUGAUCUUAUACUGUUCUUGAAGAUUUUGUAUCAAAAAGUGUCCGACGAUGACUUUUACAAAUCAAAGCAUUAUAGUAUCAUUAUCUUUUAUGAACUAAAUAUAUGCUACAAAUUAUAUAUUCUAUAAUUUAGUCACCGUCUUAAAAUGACUACCUUAAAGGGCCUUUACUGUCUUCUUUGCCCUAAGGUCGUCAAAAUUAUAGAGAUGGCCUUGGCCUUAACACGGACGUCGUCUAUCGCUAAAAGUAUAGCACCGUUAAAUCCUAGAAUAAAUUCAGAAAAACACGAACACCUAUACCAAGUCGAGAACUUUAGUGUGAGAAAAUGCGGUAAUGAUACUGCUAGUGCAUCCGUCCGAUGCGGACGGACCAGUGACUUGACCGAGCAUGCAAUACGGACCAGUGACUCGACCGAGCACGCAAGUGCGCAGCGCUUCGCUUUCUUUGCCUGCUCCCAUCUGCGUCAUUCCCCCCUCGCUCGCUCUUCUCACAUCGCUUCCCGUACUCGUCUUCUUCACGUCGUUGUUCUUCUCGCUGGUACGUCGUCACAUUGCUGAGACCGAGGGGCACCGUGCCCACACAUCCACAGGAAUGUAGGGGUAUGACAUCUUGAACAUCUUGAACUAGGGGUAUGACACUUCUCUUCUUGGAUCCAAGCUUUGACUUCGCAAUAAAUGCAAAGUGAGUAUGCUAUCUUUCCUUAUCCCUACCUUGAGCUCCACAUAUGCUUUUUAGAAGUAGGAAGAACUAAGGAAGGCAACUCUUAUCAUAUGCCUUGGUGAGGAAUCAUACACCAUUUGAGUGACUUGAGAGAACUAUAUGAGGAACAUUAAGUUUUCUUUUGAAAAAUAUUACAAAACCUCUAGUAUGAAACUUGCUAUGAAUAAGAAAGUCGGUGCUCAAAUCAAAUUGUUCUAUCUUUCAACCACCUAAGACAAAGGAAAAUCCAUCAGCCCCAUAGAGGACUAAGGUAAUAUGGGUGAGUUUUUAAGCUAAUUUUUCAAUUCAAACAGAAGAACUUUGUUGUACACAUGGUACUCUCGAAAUGUGAGCAUAGAAACAAUACCUGAUCCACCGAGGCUAAGUUUGAUUGUUUGCUUGGGAUGAGCAAAGGUUAAGCUUGGGGGAUCUUGUUGACAAUGGAUAUACCAUAGAAAUUCGCACUCAAAACACCGUCAACAUGCCUCGAUCUCAAGGAAGUAACAUGAACAUAUUUUAUCCAUAACAGGCUCCACUUGUACUCUAAGCCUUUGAUUACACGAAACAAGAAAAUGCACCUUGGAAGGACCCAAUGAGGGGGUUGGGCGACCUCAUCAUGGUCCCACCAAGAGUUGAGCUAUGAAGUACAAUCCAUGUGGUGACCCCUAGAGUCCAUUUCCACCCUCAGAUCAAUUUCCAAUGGUAAAACAUCAUUGCACAUGGAUCCAUAGGCCCACAAGUAAGCAAGCAACGUGACAAAUAUUUUGACAAAUGGUGGAGCCACUUCACAUGAGAACUGGGGUCACCUUCUAGAAGACCCUAGCUGGGCCCACUUGCCAUAGAGUUGUCGGGUGACCCCUUCCUGGUGCCUAGCCAGGUCGAUUGGCUCCCCACCGACUCAAGCACAACUUACGCAUGUCCAAAUUACCUUGGUCGUUCAUCUAUGGCGGUUGCAAGGUCGGUUCAUCCAAGGGUGGAGAGGCAUGGAGCACACAGAUCGCUGAUGUGGCACCCUCUCUCCCUCCUCUAUAAAUAGAGGCUACCUCCACCCUUGAGAGGAAUACUUGGAAGAGACCAAAGCUUUAAGUCUCUCAAUCCUUCAAGGAUCAAGUAGUAUACUAGUAUACUAGUAGUUAGUCUAGAGUAGGAGUUAAGAGUCGAGUCAAGCGAAGCUCGGGGUCUCUGGAGUCAUCUUCUGGAGAGUCUGGUAACACUCUUGUACCUUUACUCUUUUGUAAGACUUUCCUUUUAUCAAUAUAUUAUUCUUCCUUUACUUUACUUAGUAUUUACCUAAGUAUUUGCUUAGUGCAAGUCUAUAGUACUAUAGUCUUGUUGUGUACUUAUAUUAGUAGUGUAGCUCUCAUAGUUGGAGUGGUUUCCUAUAACAACUCCUUGUGUGUGUUUCAUCGUCCUAUCUUGCAUAGGAACUUUAGCUAGCUAUGCGGUAGUUAGAGUUGAGAGAGUUAGUGUAAGUGUGGUGCUUAAACUAAGCCUCACCUUUGCUGGUCGCUGAUUUGGACAAAUGGUAGGAGCACACUGGCAGGACGUGAUAGGUCGUGCUCGGCAUUAGGAUCUCCUCACUUACAAACUAGUUCUUAAAAGGCAGGACGUCCAUAAAAGUAUAGUCGCUUUAGCAGGGGUUCUGUCUCCUAUUUUCUCGACUAUCCCCCUCACACAAGCAUUAAGGAAUCAGUCUAACUAAGUCAGUUAUCUAUUAGGAUUAGGUCCAUAUGAGUAAAGUUAGAUAAUAGGAGAUUCACUCGUUGUCCUCCCACCUAGAUAACUCUCUACCAAUUAUCUUAGAUUAGAUUCUUUGCUACUCUACUUAUCUACCCUUCCUAUCACUUACUUACUCCCCCCUCUUCACUAGUUGAUACUAGAUCAUAGUAGACAUAAGGAUCUCUCUUCUCUUUUAGUAAACAUUCCUAGCAUUGUUUUCCCUUAGGAUAAAAUAAAUAAUAAUACCUUGGAAUACUCAUCCUCGGUGAAGUGCUACAUCGGUAUAUUCUGUGCGCUUGCGGAAUAAUCCAAUAGACAUAAGAAGUACCCACUUGGCAUUUCUGGUGCCAUUGCUAAUAUCUAGUGACAAUGUUAAGAUUUGCCAACAAGCAUUUUUGGUGCCGCUGCCGGAGACUACGCAUUUUGACUAUUUCUAGUGAUUGCGCUAAGAAGUGUCAACACCGUCCGUGUGCGCAUUUCCUCUCUCUUGCUAUCACUGACGUCCGAGGCCUCCUUGGCAGCGACUUUCUCUCCUUCCUCAUGUCGGUUCCAUGCAGAAGUCGACCCGGACGUCAAAGGAAUCCUGAGAAUUUUGGCCUUGUCUUGCCAAUGCAUCAACUGAGACUAUAUAGCUCCGAGACUCCCCUUUGCGUCCUAUUUUUCCCAUCUUUUCGACAUCAAAGCUGCCCUAGCUGCUGCCCUGUUGAGUUCUAGAUCACGCCGAGCUCGAGCUUCACCUAUCGCCGCCAAACGCGAUUUCACCUCGGGCUGAGCCAAGAGCAUAGGUGGAUUCACGAUCUCCUUCUCCACCUCCCUAUAUUUUUCUUUUUUAUUUGAGGCACUCAGAAUUCCCUAAUUAUGAAUGUUGUCAACCAUCUCAACAUCGACAAUGGCGCUGCCAUGUCGGAGCUCGCUGCCGGCCGGCCAGAACCCCUCCAAUUGAUCCCGGUCGUCCUCUUUUGAUAGAACGACAUGAAAAUGCUGAUACCCCUUUGACUGAGAUUUUUGUUAAAGCGACCCUACAUUUUCUUAGAUUCAACCUGCAGUCUAUCACAUAUUUAGAAAAUGUGUUUUCUCAUUUUGAAAGCGUAAAGCCUUGGUUUGAAUUCUAAAAUACAUUUUCAGUAUUUACAGUUUUGUCAUUGAAAUUGUUUAGCUCAUAGAAUGCUCAUUUUAACUCCGAUUUGACUCGUUCAAAGUUUGUUAGAUUCGUAAUUGCAUAAUCAACAUGUUAGUGUUACUAUUUUCCUAGUUUGCAAUAUUUUAAUUUCGAGUUCCUAUUUAAUUAAUUAUUUUUUCUAUAAAAAAUCUUGAAAAAUCAUAACUUCUUUGUUUUAGCUUUGAUUUUUGUGAUCUUUAUGUUUGUGUGAUCAAAGCGAUGUGUAGAAUAUUUUUAUAAACUUUUGAUUAUAUUUUGCUACUGUUGGUGUAUUAUUCUAAUUAUAACUUGUUUGCUUCGUGUAUGAUUUGCUUUGAUUACUUGUGCGUUGUUGAUUGAUGGUCGAGUAUAGACGGUGAGCAGUACAUUGGUGAGCACGAUUAGUACUUUUGCUGACCAACAGGUGCAACAGGAAAGCUUUGAUCAAGGCAAGUAAAACUUGGGAUUAUCCUUUUUACCUAUACACUCUUAAUCAUACAUAUAUCAUAUGCACGUGUCCAACUGGACAACCUUAGUAAAAUCCUAGAUAUUUGAUACCUUGAAUACAUUGAUACCUUUUUGGUUAUGCAUUGGGGUAGUAUUUGCUUGAGCUUGACUAAAUCAUGAUCAUGUAAGAUAAUUAAUGACUAUGCAAUGAAUGCUAAAAGAUGACUUGACUACAUGAGAUCUUGUCUAUAUGUGAUCACCGGGAUUGGCAGUAUAACCGUAAGAGCUAUAUGGCUAUUUCUAGCUUGUCAGAGGUUACCGAAAGGGUGCAAAAGGGGAUUCCUGACUCAGGUAUAGUACAACCUUUGUCCCUAUGUGUAUAGGCUACGCGUCAUUGUGCCAUUCGAAAGGAGGGCUCUACAUCUGCUCAUCGAUUGGAAACCUAGCGGCCCUAACUUGUUAGAUGAACUUUUGAAAGCCUUCAUAGUGAACCCUACUAACCUCCCUAGGAAGGGGGUUAAGAUAUUAGCUACCUUGUGUGAAAGAGUAAAUCAUGACUCAUGGGUAAAGAUGUAUAACCUCUAUAGAGUGUUUAAAAAACUGGUAUACUUGUGCUCACGGCACAUGAGCGGCCUUGGAGACAUCUACAGUAAAGAUGAUGAUGCUUGUUAUGUUAAUAUGUUCAUUUACUUAUCAUUUAUGCUUUGUAUUAAUUAUGCUUACAUUAAUCAUGUGGUUAUGGGAUUAUAUGCUAUCCUAUUGUUGAUACUACUUGAUAAAUAUGAUAUAUAUACAUAAAAGGUAAAUAUAGUCAAACCAAUGUCAUCUAUUUGAGCCUCAUGAAUUGGUUAUACUUGUUGAGUAUGAAAUAUGCUCACUCUUGCUAUUUCACAAGAUGACUAGAAUGAGGACUAUCAUAAUGGGUACUAGGCUUGGAGUCAAGCAGUCAACAUUUGUCCUUGUGUGGUGCUUCCAUUAAGAGAUUAUCUAUUAGUUACUAUUAUUAUUGUUUUAUGUGUUGAAUAUUCAUUCGUUAUGUAAUAAACAUUGUGAUGAUGCUAUUUGAGAUUUGUCAACUUAUAUGUGCGCCUAUUUCUUGGUGUAUAUGAGUCUUUGUUGACAUUCGUUAAGUGCAAUAAUAAUAAGAAAAAUUCCACAAGCGUACAAAACAUCAUCGUAGCAUUUUACCGGGAGUAUUCCAGGUAUAGUUCUAUGAUAACAAAGAAUGAAUAGAUAUAGCAAUCGCAUAUUAGCACUUUAGAACAUCAGAACACCAACCAUAGAAAGAGAACUGGAAGGGGGCUGGGAAGCUCUAACUAUAGUCCUACAAACAUCGAUCCGAACGAGGUGGAAUACGUCGACCGUUAGGGCUGUCACUACCCUAGGGCUACCACAACAAUCCACCGGACUUGGUGCAACCUCAGGUAACCUCUAGUAUAGACACCACGUCUACACUAACGAUUUCUACUCUAAUUACCAUGAAUAACGAGAGCACUCGAUGCGAACGGAGAUCCUAUGCCAAAAUAUAAUAACUACACUACUCGAUAAUAAUAAAGGCAUAAAAGUAAAUAGAGAAGAUAAAUAUAUUAAAGCAUAAGUCUUACAAUAAAUAUAAAGACAUACCAAAACUCUGAAGACUUCUCCAGAACUCAAGCGUAGCUCCGCUCUCCCUAACUCCCGACUAGAACUAAUCUACUACAUUGGAAUGUCUAGCCCUAAUUCUCUAUAGAGGAAAGGUUGUCCUUCGAGGGCACCUCUCAAC
rnacentral:lncRNA from 1 species